CUGGGAGUGCAGACUUCAGCUACAGUCAGUCACAGCGCUUUCUUGAAAUCCCACAACGCCAAUGUCAAGGGAACUGUAAAGACUCUGAUCUGACAACCACAGAUGGAAAAGGAGAGGCGGAGUGGGCCCCGGGAGGCUACAAGGUGUUCCCAGGAUCCAGGUACAGUCCUCCUAAGGAUUAUAAUUGGUCUCAGCCUACUAUUACAGAGACAAACAACUUUUGCACCGCCCCGCUUGGGAAAAUGCUCUCCCAGUCUCAAGAAAAUUGAUCGAGCCAGUUUAACAAUAAGGUUGGCAGCGGUGGGAUUCGAACCCACGCCCCCGAAGAGACUGGAGCCUUAAUCCAGCGCCUUAGACCGCUCGGCCACGCUACCGUACAUACGAUAGCCUAAAACUCUUCCUGAUAGUUUAAAAGGUACAAGACUGUUCUUGCACGUGUUAUUUUCUUCUAGAGCCUUUUGUGCUCUGUUUCUGAUACCCGAGGGUAAAGGGAGAGGCAGCCAACGCUCAACAUCCAUCAAACUCGAAAGUAAUUAGCCCUUGACAAAAUGAUCGGAAUUCACCACCGCCGACGCAGCACCGGAACUCUAAGGAUGCUGAGAUCAAGAGUCGCCAAUUUGUCAGCUGCGUUUGGGGAUCGGCAGCGGGAAGUCAUUUCUAAUGUCCGCAACCAGAAAACAGAGGAGCUCCCUUCCUGCUCACCCGGAACUCCGUUCCUGGUUGCUGUGUCUGUGUGUGAAUUCUUGUUGUGAAAGUCGUGGAAGGAAACAACUUCGCAAACAGGCCUACUUUUUUUUUUGCUGAACAUGGUCACGGUCUUCAUUUACAAAGUUCAGGGAGGUAAUCAGUUUGCAUUUGGCGCGGAGCAUCGCAUUCUCUCCGUACUCGCAGAGGACGCGUCCUGCCCUCUCUUACCCCUUGAACGCGAGCUGGGCGGGUCCCUUGGCCCAGGUCUCGGCUUCCAGACCGCUCAUCCUCUCUCUCAGUCCCGCCUGAUCCAUAAGAUGCUGCCUCUUUUGAGCGAGCCCCAGUUCCACCUUUUCAAAUCCCAGCGGCUCCACUUAACAGCCAUAAACCCAUUGGCGAGUCACUUAAGCUUAUCGGGUAUCACUUUCUUCAUAUGUAAAAUGGUG
rnacentral:tRNA from 1 species